UUGGGCCGGCCUCUAAAUAAGGCGGCCCAACACAUGAAAAAAAAAGGGGGGGAGGGAGUCUCCCGAUCGGAGUAUGCUCCCUCCCCUAUUUCGAAAAUCUCUCCCCCUCCCGAAUCCUCCGGAGGGGAGAUUAUAGGGUGAUAAAACCCUGCCAAAUCAGGCUAAGAUCUCCUUCCUCUCUUUCUAGGGCAUCAGCCGACAGGCUUCCACACAAAAAAAAAAAGGAGAAGGGAGAUUGGAUUUUACCAUGCCGCGGGAGGAAUCGAAGCGGUCGCCGUCGAUCCGGUCGGGAGGACCUCGCCGGAGGCAAGGGGAACAAUCCAUUGGACGAGAGGACGCUGAGCAGAGUCAUGCGCAUUCCGGUUCAUAGAUCGCCGUGAGGGUGGGUGAUUAGUUGUCUGAGUUUUCAAUAAAGAAGUUACAUGAUGCAUUGAUUUGGACGGGAUGGGUGCAGAGUGCGAGUACCCGAGUCAUUAGUUAGUUGGUUUGUUUAUCUUUCUUUGAUGUUGAUGAACAUUUGAAGAUCUUGUAAUGGAACUAAUUUGUUUAUCUGGUGUGGACAUGUUGGAUUUGUCUAUUUGAAUUACUAAA